GGGGCUGGUCGAAAGACCCGGGUCCAUCAAGUGCGGGGAUGUUCCCC
rnacentral:sRNA from 12 species